CCCGCUGAACUUAAGCAUAUCAAUAAGCGGAGGAAAAGAAACUAACAAGGAUUCCCCUAGUAACUGCGAGUGAAGCGGGAAAAGCUCAAAUUUAAAAUCUGGCAGUCUUUGGCUGUCCGAGUUGUAAUCUAGAGAAGUAUUAUCCGCGCUGGACCGUGUACAAGUCUCCUGGAAUGGAGCGUCAUAGAGGGUGAGAAUCCCGUCUUUGACACGGACUGCCAGGGCUUUGUGAUAUGCUCUCGAAGAGUCGAGUUGUUUGGGAAUGCAGCUCAAAAUGGGUGGUAAAUUCCAUCUAAAGCUAAAUAUUGGCGAGAGACCGAUAGCGAACAAGUACCGUGAGGGAAAGAUGAAAAGAACUUUGGAAAGAGAGUUAAACAGUACGUGAAAUUGCUGAAAGGGAAACGCUUGAAGUCAGUCGCGUUGGCCAGGGAUCAACCUUGCUUUUUUGCUUGGCUUACUUUCUGGUUGAUGGGUCAGCAUCAAUUUUGACUGGUGGAAAAAGUUCAAAGGAAUGUGGCAUCUUCGGAUGUGUUAUAGCCUUUGUUCACAUACAUUGGUUGGGAUUGAGGAACUCAGCACGCCGCAAGGCCGGGUUUUUAACCACGUACGUGCUUAGGAUGCUGGCAUAAUGGCUUUAAUCGACCCGUCUUGAAACACGGACCAAGGAGUCUAACAUGCCUGCGAGUAUUUGGGUGAAAAACCCGAGUGCGUAAUGAAAGUGAAAGUUGAGAUCCCUGUCGUGNGGAGCAUUGACGCCCGGAUCUGACCUUUUGUGACGAUUCUGCGGUAGAGCAUGUAUGUUGGGACCCGAAAGAUGGUGAACUAUGCCUGAAUAGGGUGAAGCCAGAGGAAACUCUGGUGGAGGCUCGUAGCGAUUCUGACGUGCAAAUCGAUCGNNNNNNNNNNNNNNNNNNNNNNNNNNNNNNNNNNNNNNNNNNNNNNNNNNACUCGGAUUUUAGAAUCGCUGUGCUGUACAAGUCGGCUUUUCUUUCAUUUCCAAGACUAUGUUUUUAUAUACACCAAAGUAUGUUUAUAGAAUGUCAUCAAUGGGAACUUGUUUCCUAUAAAAUUAUACAACUUUCAGCAACGGAUCUCUUGGCUCUCGCAUCGAUGAAGAACGCAGCGAAAUGCGAUAAGUAAUGUGAAUUGCAGAAUUCAGUGAAUCAUCGAAUCUUUGAACGCACCUUGCGCUCCUUGGUAUUCCGAGGAGCAUGCCUGUUUGAGUGUCAUUAAAUUCUCAACCUUCCAACUUUUAUUAGCUUGGUUAGGCUUGGAUGUGGGGGUUGCGGGCUUCAUUAAUGAGGUCGGCUCUCCUUAAAUGCAUUAGCGGAACUUUUGUGACCGUCUAUUGGUGUGAUAAUUAUCUACGCCGUGGAUGUGAAGCAGCUUUAUGAAGUUCUGCUUCUAACCGUCCAUUGACUUGGACAAUUUUGAUAAUUUGACCUCAAAUCAGGUAGGACUACCCGCUGAACUUAAGCAUAUCAAUAAGCGGAGGAAAAGAAACUAACAAGGAUUCCCCUAGUAACUGCGAGUGAAGCGGGAAAAGCUCAAAUUUAAAAUCUGGCAGUCUUUGGCUGUCCGAGUUGUAAUCUAGAGAAGUAUUAUCCGCGCUGGACCGUGUACAAGUCUCCUGGAAUGGAGCGUCAUAGAGGGUGAGAAUCCCGUCUUUGACACGGACUGCCAGGGCUUUGUGAUAUGCUCUCGAAGAGUCGAGUUGUUUGGGAAUGCAGCUCANAAUGGGUGGUAAAUUCCAUCUAAAGCUAAAUAUUGGCGAGAGACCGAUAGCGAACAAGUACCGUGAGGGAAAGAUGAAAAGAACUUUGGAAAGAGAGUUAAACAGUACGUGAAAUUGCUGAAAGGGAAACGCUUGAAGUCAGUCGCGUUGGCCAGGGAUCAACCUUGCUUUUUUGCUUGGCUUACUUUCUGGUUGAUGGGUCAGCAUCAAUUUUGACUGGUGGAAAAAGUUCAAAGGAAUGUGGCAUCUUCGGAUGUGUUAUAGCCUUUGUUCACAUACAUUGGUUGGGAUUGAGGAACUCAGCACGCCGCAAGGCCGGGUUUUUAACCACGUACGUGCUUAGGAUGCUGGCAUAAUGGCUUUAAUCGACCCGUCUUGAAACACGGACCAAGGAGUCUAACAUGCCUGCGAGUAUUUGGGUGAAAAACCCGAGUGCGUAAUGAAAGUGAAAGUUGAGANNNNNNNNNNNNNNNNNNNNNNNNNNNNNNNNNNNNNNNNNNNNNNNNNNNNNNNNNNNNNNNNNNNNNNNNNNNNNGUUGGACAUGGGUCAGUCGAUCCUAAGAGAUAGGGAAGCUCCGUUUCAAAGUGUGCGAUUUUUCGUGCCACCUAUCGAAAGGGAAUCCGGUUAAAAUUCCGGAACCAGAAUGUGGAUCUUUAACGGCAACGUAAAUGAACUUGGAGACAUUGGCAGGAACCCCGGGAAGAGUUAUCUUUUCUCCUUAACAGUCUACAACCCUGAAAUCAGUUUGUCUGGAGCUAGGGUUCAAUGGCUGGUAGAGCACAACACCUCUGUUGUGUCCGGUGCGUUCUUGACAAUCCUUGAAAAUCCAAGGGAAUGAAUAACUUUCACGUCUGGUCGUACUCAUAACCGCAGCAGGUCUCCAAGGUGAACAGCCUCUAGUU
rfam:Laccaria bicolor S238N-H82 LACBIscaffold_246 genomic scaffold, whole genome shotgun sequence.